rnacentral:rRNA from 1 species
GCGUGCCUAAUACAUGCAAGUCGAGCGGACUUGAAGAGAAGCUUGCUUCUCGGAUGGUUAGCGGCGGACGGGUGAGUAACACGUAGGCAACCUGCCUGUAAGAUCGGGAUAACUACCGGAAACGGUAGCUAAGACCGGAUAACCGGUAUCUCCGCAUGGAGAGGCUGUGAAACACGGAGCAAUCUGUGGCUUACGGAUGGGCCUGCGGCGCAUUAGCUAGUUGGUGAGGUAACGGCUCACCAAGGCGACGAUGCGUAGCCGACCUGAGAGGGUGAACGGCCACACUGGGACUGAGACACGGCCCAGACUCCUACGGGAGGCAGCAGUAGGGAAUCUUCCGCAAUGGACGAAAGUCUGACGGAGCAACGCCGCGUGAGUGAUGAAGGUUUUCGGAUCGUAAAGCUCUGUUGCCAGGGAAGAACGCCAAGGAGAGUAACUGCUCUUUGGGUGACGGUACCUGAGAAGAAAGCCCCGGCUAACUACGUGCCAGCAGCCGCGGUAAUACGUAGGGGGCAAGCGUUGUCCGGAAUUAUUGGGCGUAAAGCGCGCGCAGGCGGUUUUUUAAGUCUGGUGUUUAAUCCCGAGGCUCAACCUCGGUUCGCACCGGAAACUGGGAGACUGGAGUGCAGGAGAGGAAAGUGGAAUUCCACGUGUAGCGGUGAAAUGCGUAGAGAUGUGGAGGAACACCAGUGGCGAAGG